CGUUACCUGUUAAUUUGUAUAGUUCACGGGCAGUAAAUUCACAUAUAUAAUUAAGAACGUAGUAUGUGUUAACAUAUAGUCGUAAAAAUUUUCAAAUGUAACGCAGCUAGCUUAAAAAUUAGAAAUAGCUAUAUUUAAUCUAAUAAAUCAUAAAAACAACCGACCAAUAUUAACUGCUAUAUUUUCGAAAUGUUUGUUUUUGAAUUGGUAUGAAGCGGCAAGAUUUCAGGAUGAAAAGUAGUUCAGAUGCUUACAUUUAUGUGUAUAUAAAGUUUGAUACGAAGUAUACAUGAAUGUGAAUGUAUGUGUGUUGUAUUUAUCGAAAGUCAGGUGGUGCCUCAAAAAAACUGUGGCCUAAUUAAAAUGGCAAUGAAAAUAUUGUUUCUCAUUUUUAUAUUUAUAGUCACUUGACGCAGUGCCAAAAUGAUUUGCAUAACAUUUUUUGCUCAAUUAAUUCAACUAUUAUGACAAAAAACAGCAAAAAAAAAAGAAAUAGAAAAAACAACAAACACAUGCUGUAGCACAUGAAAUUUUCUCGCUACAGCUAUACCCAGUGGGAUAAUGGUUCACCGCUUACAUUUUUCUUUGAAUAGUGCUCCGAAGAAAAUUCUAUGUAGAAUUCUUCGAUACUAGGUGAAGCAUAUAAGUCAAGGGAUCCAUAGAAUACUACACUGUACCGUACAGUCAACACCGUGUCUGGGAGUGACUACUCCUCACCAGAAUAUAGAAGGAGCACCACCUUACCGUAAUUACCGUACCCACUUCGACAAGAACCAACGCCUGGCACACCAAAUCCAAUCGAUUCCACCUGACUCGCCAUAUAAAUAUAAGCUGGUCUGGCUGUCCAUAUAAGGGGUGUGGAUACAUCUAUUACAAAAAGUAAAUAUUCUUUGCUAAGGGUUCGUGGGUCCCACGGCUGACCUURGAGCGGCUGAGCAUACCUCAGCUAUGGACGAAACCCCAUUACACAUGUUUAGAUUAUGGGAAUGGAUUCGAGAUUCUCCUGAAUUUCGUUACAAGAAUAUAUAAUUAUUUUAUUAA